GUCAUUUUCUCUACAUCAAAAAUAAGACAUCACCAGUCCUAAAGGAAUAUUAUAAUUCAUAAACAAAACAUUAUAUUAAAAUUUUAUACUAAAGUAUAAAAUUAUUUCUCUCUAGGCAAAAUUUGGUUUCUCUAAUAUUACUGGAAUUGAUUACUCUCCUUCUGCAAUUCAGCUUUCUGGAAGUAUUAUAGAAAAAGAAGGUUUAUCUAACAUUAAGUUAAAGGUAGAAGACUUUUUGAAUCUCUCCACACAGCUGUCUGGAUUUCAUAUUUGUAUUGACAAAGGGACUUUUGAUGCCAUAAGCCUUAAUCCUGACAAUGCAAUUGAGAAGAGGAAGCAAUAUGUGAAAUCUCUCUCCAGGGUGUUGAAAGUAAAAGGCUUUUUUCUAAUAACGUCAUGUAAUUGGACCAAGGAAGAGUUGCUAAAUGAAUUCAGUGAAGGUUGGAGUACAGUGGCAGGAUUUUGGCUCACUGCAGCCUUGACUUCCUGGGCUCAAGCGAUCUUUUCCACUUCAGCCUCCCGAGUAGGUGGAACUACAGGCACACAUCAUCAUGCCUGGAUAAUUUUUGUAUUUUUAGCAGAGACGAGGUUUUGCCAUGUUGUCCAGGCUGGUCUGGAACUCCUGGGCUCAAGUGAUUCUCCCACCUGGCCUCCCAAAGUGCUGGGAUUAUACCAUGCCAGGCCCUCGUUGGCAUUUUAGAUUUGAACUUCUCGAAGAGCUACCAACACCCAAGUUCAGCUUUGGAGGCAGAUCUGGAAACAGUGUAGCAGCAUUGGUUUUCCAAAA
rnacentral:lncRNA from 10 species